UGAAAGCACCAAACCAUGGCUUCCCUUCAAUCUUCUUUCUCCAAGGUGCUGGGGCACCAACCCCAACCCCAACCCCCGGAAUACCCCAUUUUCCAAGCCCUCCCAGCUCGCCAGCAGCAAUGCAAGGCGGAGCCACCGCUUUCAGGUGUCAUGCAGCAGCGGCGGGGGCGGCGGUAUAGACCGCCGAAACAUGCUCCUCGGUCUUGGAGGGCUGUACGGCGCAAGCAGCCUCGUCUCCGACCGCAAAGCUAAUGCGGAUCCUAUUGCACCUCCUGACCUGAGCUCGUGCGACGCCCAAGGUGCGACUACUACUAAGGACGGGCAGGUGGUGAGUCUGGACGUCAACUGCUGCCCACCCUUCACCGAUGUGCAGAAUGACUACAAGCUUCCCAAGUUCAGCAAGCCCCGCGUGAGGCAGUCAGCUCACCGCCUGAGCCCGGCUAACAUAGACAAGUACAACAGAGCCAUGGCGAAGAUGAGGGAGCUGGACGUGACGGACCCCGACGAUCCCCGCGGCUUCACUCAGCAAGCCAACGUCCACUGCGCUUACUGCAACGGCCCCUACGACCAGGUCGGCUUCCCCGGCGUGGAUCUGCAGGUUCACAACUCCUGGAUCUUCUUCCCCUUCCACAGGUGGUACCUCUAUUUCUACGAGAGGAUCUUGGGCGAACUGAUCGGCGACCCCACCUUCGCCCUGCCCUACUGGAACUGGGACAACCCAAGGGGCAUGAGCAUGCCGCCGGCCUUCGACAACACCGCCUCCGCGCUCUACGACCAGAACCGCAACCAACUGCACCGCCGCCCCGCCGUGGUGGAUCUGGCCCUGAACAGCGGCAUCACCGACCCCGUGCAGAUGAUCUCCAACAAUCUGACUCUCAUGUACAAGGAGAUGAUCGGGGACGUGGAGUCCGCCAUCGACUUCAUGGGGACGGAAUACAGGGCUGGAGACGCGCCGCACGCCUUCCCCCUGGGAGGCACUUCCGAGAGAGGGUCCCACACCGGCAUCCACGUGUGGGUCGGAGACCCCGACAACGAGUUCAACGAAGACAUGGGCAACUUCUACUCCGCCGGCAGGGACCCUAUGUUCUACUGCCAUCACGCUAACGUCGACAGAAUGUGGACCAUCUGGGAUGGCAUCCCCGCCGACUACUCCAAGAAGAUCGACGACGCCGAUUUGAAGAACGCCGCCUUCAUGUUCUACGACGAGAAGAAGAACCUGGUGCGCGUCAGGGCCGGAGACUGCUUCGACCACAAGAAAAUGGGAUACGUGUACCAACACAGCGAUACUCCAUGGAUGAACUACAGGGCGCCUCAGAAGACCGUCCCGGUCAAUCUCAAGGACAUCUCCAAGGGAGUGAAGACUGUAGACAAAGUCUUCCCUCUCAAACCCACCAAGACUGCCAAGGUUUUGGUGUCCAAACCAACCAAAGGCAAAGCCGACGAAGUGCUGGUGCUGGAGAACAUUGUGACCGACAACACCAAGCUCGUCAAGUUCGAUGUGUUCAUCAAUGAUGAAGACGACAAGCCGGAGGAGCUGGACAGGGCGGAGUACGUUGGGGCCUUCACGCAGCUGCCCCACAGGGUUAAGGCCAAGGAAAGCGUCGCCAACCUUCGCUUGAACUUGAAGGAAGUCUACGAGAACAUUAACAUCGCCGAUGAUGAUGCCGUCGUGGUCACCAUCGUUCCCCAAAUCAACGGCAACGCCGUCACCAUUGGUGGUAUUAAGAUCAUCCCGCGUGCAAAAUAGUCUGCAUCCAUCGCCAUGUUUCUCGGCACGCUUUCUCCAUGUUGCUUGAGAUUUGUCGACUUUUAAAAUUUCCACGUGUUUUGUGUGCUCAAUAAGCCUUUUGUUUGAAUAAUUAUGUUUCUGUAUGGGUUCCCACUACUAAUGAACGAAACAUCUGUGUUUUUAAGAA